CCUACGGGAGGCAGCAGUGAGGAAUAUUGGUCAAUGGGCGAGAGCCUGAACCAGCCAUGCCGCGUGAAGGCGAGUGCCCUACGGGCGUUAAACUUCUUUUGUGCGGGAGCAAUAAUGGCCACGCGUGGCCCGAUGAGAGUACCGCACGACUAAGCAUCGGCUAACGCCGUGCCAGCAGCCGCGGUAAUACGGGGGAUGCCAGCGUUAUCCGGAUUUAUUGGGUUUAAAGGGUGCGUAGGUGGAGAUUCAGGUCAGUUGUGAAAGUUCGCGGCUCAACCGCGGAAUUGCCGUUGAAACUGGGAGGCUAGAGUUCCGAUGCGGUGGGAGGAAUUCGUGGUGUAGCGGUGAAAUGCAUAGAUAUCACGCAGAACACCGAUUGCGAAGGCAGCUCACGAAUCGGAGAUUGACGCUGAGGCACGAAAGUGUGGGUAUCAAACAGGAUUAGAUACCCGAGUAGUC
rnacentral:rRNA from 1 species